AGAAUCAACGCUGGCGGCGUGCCUAACACAUGCAAGUCGAACGAGAAAGUGGAGCAAUCCAUGAGUAAAGUGGCGACCGGGUGAGUAACACGUGACUAACCUACCUUCGAGUGGGGGAUAACCUCGGGAAACCGAGGCUAAUACCGCAUAACAUCGCAAGAUCAAAGCAGCAAUGCGCUUGGGGAGGAGGUCGCGGCCGAUUAGCUAGUUGGCGGGGUAAUGGCCCACCAAGGCGAUGAUCGGUA
rnacentral:rRNA from 1 species